rnacentral:lncRNA from 1 species
GCUGCCUACCCUUCCCACCCUCGGUCCGCAGCCGCACCGGCGACUGUGGUGUCGUGUCCCUCUUCCCCAGGGUUCUGUGAAGCCCCGGAGGACGGGGAUCCGGGUGCGACUUCGUCAGCACUCUAUCCCCCAGGGGGCCCCGGGCUGGCAUACGGUGGACACUGAACUCAUGUGCAAUUAUCCAGAAAGGGUCCUCCCACCUUCCUGGAUGAGAAUCCGGAUGAUGCAAAUUUCAGCCUGCACCCGACACCCAGAUCCCCACCAUGUACCCCUGGGGGGUUACCUGGCUUUUUCUUGCACGCCUUUGGGACUGAGAAGCUCACUCUUUUUUUUUUUUUAAGUUUAUUUAUUUUGAGAGACAGCGAGAGAGAGAGAGAGAGAGAGAGGAGAGAGAGAGAGAGAGAGAGAGAGAGAGAAUCCCAUGUAGGUCGUCAGCGCAGAGCCCGAUGCAGCGCUCAAUCUCACAAACAAACCGGGAGAUCGGGACCCAAGCCGAAAUCAAGAGUUGGACGUUUAACUGACUGAGCCACUCAGGCACCCCGAGCUCGCUCUCUUUGAGUAAGUCAAAGAUCUUAGGACACCCCCCCCCCCGAAUCUGCCUCCAUC